rnacentral:snRNA from 1 species
UUGGCUUCUCGGCCUUUUGGCUAAGAUCAAGUGUAGUAUCACAUCAUACGAAAGAGUUAAAGCUGCUCUUCCCAUGCAAUGUGGCAUUAUUUUUUAAAAAUCCUCU